ensembl:lncRNA
GGGGUAAUGGGGGUAAUGGGGGCAAUGGGGUGAUGGGGGCAGUGGGGUAAUGGGGGUUAUGGGGUAAUGGGUCUCUAUGGGUCUCUAUGUGUCCCUAUGUGUCUCUAUGGGUCUCUAUGUGUCUCUAUGGGUCCCUAUGUGUCCCUAUGGGUCUCUAUGUGUCCCUAUGUGUCUCUAUGUGUCUCUAUGGGUCCCUAUGUGUCCCUAUGUGUCCCUAUGUGUCUCUAUGUGUCCCUAUGUGUCUGUAUGUGUCCCUAUGUGUCCCUAUGGGUCCCUGUGUGUCUCUAUGUGUCCCUAUGUGUCUCUAUGGGGCUCUAUGUGUCCCUAUGUGUCUCUAUGGGGCCCUAUGUGUCCCUAUGGGUCCCUAUGUGUCCCUAUGUGUCCCUAUGUGUCUCUAUGUGUCUCUAUGGGUCCCUAUGUGUCCCUACGUGUCCCUAUGUGUCUCUAUGUGUCCCUAUGUGUCUGUAUGUGUCCCUAUGUGUCCCCAUGGGUCCCUGUGUGUCUCUAUGUGUCCCUAUGUGUCUCUAUGGGGCUCUAUGUGUCCCUAUGUGUCUCUAUGGGGCCCUAUGUGUCCCUAUGGGUCCCUAUGGGUCCCUAUGUGUCUCUAUGUGUCUCUGUGUGUCCCUAUGUGUCCCUAUGGGUCUCUGUGUGUCCCUAUGUGUCCCUAUGGGUCCCUAUGUUUCCCUAUGGGUCCCUAUGUGUCCCUAUGUGUCUCCAUGGCGUCCCUAUGGGUCCCUAUGUGUCUCUAUGGGUCUCUAUGUGUCCCUAUGUGUCUGUAUGUGUCCCUAUGGGUCCCUAUGGGUCUCUGUGUGUCUCUAUGUGUCUGUAUGUGUCCCUAUGUGUCUCUAUGUGUCUCUGUGCGUCUCUAUGGGUCUCUAUGUGUCCCUAUGUGUCUCCAUGGCAUCCCUAUGUGUCUCCAUGGCAUCCCUAUGGGUCCCUAUGGGUCGCUAUGGGUCCCUAUGGGUCGCAAUGUGUCGGUAUGUGUCCCCAUGGUGGCUGUGUGUCUCUAUGUGUCCCUAUGUGUCUCUAUGUGUCUCCAUGGGGUCUCUAUGUGUCCCUACGUGUCCCUAUGUGUCUCUAUGUGUCCCUAUGUGUCUCUAUGUGUCCCUACGUGUCUCCAUGGCAUCCCUAUGGGUCCCUAUGGGUCUCUGUGGGUCGCUAUGGGUCGCACUGUAUCGGUGUGUGUCCCCAUGGUGGCUGUGUGUCUCUAUGUGUCUCAGUGUGUCUCUAUGGGUCUCUAUGUGUCCCUGUGUGUCUCUAUGUGUCCCUACGUGUCCCUACGUGUCCCUAUGUGUCUGUAUGUGUCCCUAUGUGUCUCUAUGUGUCUCUAUGUGUCCCUACGUGUCCCUAUGUGUCCUUAUGUGUCUCUAUGUGUCUCUAUGGGUCCCUAUGUGUCCCUAUGUGUCUCUAUGGGUCUCUAUGUGUCUCUAUGUGUCCCUAUGUGUCCCUAUGUGUCUCUAUGGGUCCCUAUGUGUCCCUAUGUGUCCCUAUGGGUCUCUAUGUGUCUCUAUGUGUCUCUAUGGGUCCCUAUGGGUCCCUAUGGGUCGCUAUGGGUCGCUAUGGGUCGCUAUGGGUCCCCAUGUGUCGGUGUGUGUCCCCCCGGUGGCUGUGUGUCUCUAUGUGUCCCUAUGUGUCCCUAUGGGUCCCUACGUGUCCCUGUGUGUCUCUAUGUGUCCCUAUGUGUCCCUAUGUGUCCCUAUGGGUCUCUAUGUGUCCCUAUGUGUCCCUCUGUGUCCCUAUGGGUCUCUAUGGGUCUCUAUGUGUUUCUAUGGGUCUCUAUGUGUCUCUAUGGGGUCUCUA